rnacentral:lncRNA from 7 species
AGUUUCCCCACCCCACCUCAGCCAGGCCCUGCAGGUGGGAACCAGCAGUGGGAGCAGAACUGCUACCUGAAGGCAUGCUUUGAUCCCGUUUUCAUGCAUAAGUGCUUUGAUCCCAUUUUCAUGCAUGGGGCAUAACUGCUUCUGAAUAGAUUGCUUUUUUGGGGGGAGUGGAGCAGAAAUGCUGAGUCGUGGUUUGAAGCAGUGAUGGAGCACCUGGUGGGAAGGCAGGGCCAACCCAGGGAAGCUCAGCUGCAUGCAAUUAAAUGCACCUGAGUGACCAGAAGGGCUGCAGCCAGGAUCCACCCCUUCCCAGCCCUCAUUUAAGGGUUGGCAGUGGAAGUGAGGGCUUUUCCCUAGAGCUCCCUGCAUCCCUGAGGCCUUCUGAAGAAUCAAGCUCAUUUCUACAGCAAAGGUUUUCACGGUCCCUGGCAGCACAACGAAGGCGACUGAUGCAAGAAAUCACCUUAUUUCUGAUACCUGCUGCUGUAGCAGAGCAUCCAGGCAGAAGUGGCUGCUGUCACCAAUCCAACGUUUCCAAGCGUCCUGCAGAGCCAGGGGGACACGCGCAGCCUCCCCGACGCCUUCCCUGCCCAUGGCCAGUUUCCACCGAGGGAACUUUCCGGUGCUGAUGAAGGGAUCCUUUCAGCUCCAUCCUGUGUGUAAGGGAGCCCUGAGUGCAUGGCACGGCACUUGUCCUGGGUCAUAGAAAGCUCACAUCCAUCUCAAAGCCCCCACGUCCUCCUGGCUUGCUACUGAAGCCAGGGGACGUCCUGCAGCUCCAAAGGUGCAUCAGCUGCUACACAAGCUGCUGUCGCCAAGGUACAUGCAGCUCUUUGCAUUUCAGGCCCAGAAAAUACAAAGUGUGCCUGCUCCAGGCCAGCAGAGCAGGAAUGCAAACAGCAGCAAGGAUGCCAGCAUGCAUCGAAGAGCUCUGCUCUUACAAAGGACAAGAUCAUCUCUCGAGGAAGGGAUGAACCCCCUCUGCUUGGCUCUGCCUGCGUGCUGGAUGGGCACCUUGCUCUGGGACUCCAAGCAAGUGAAAUCUGCUUUAAAAUAAAAUCCCCUUUCACUU